GCGGAGGCGACUCCGCGACCGAGUACUCCGAGGACCUCAAGGUCUUCGUUGGCAACCUGCCCUUCACCGUCGACAGCGUGCAGCUCGCCAAGAUAGGAUAAGUGCAAGCGUCCAUCGCCGCAAACACAUGGGUGGUCAGUGGGACUCCCCAGACCAAGAACGCAACAACUUCACUUCUUUCCUUGCACAUUCCUGUUAAGGAAGCAAAGAAAUCUUGGAUUCAUAAAUGGGAGAAGCACAUAAGGGAGAAGAAGAUGAUUGCAAGGAUGGAGAGGGAGCAAAUCAUUUGGAGGGAUAGAAUGCCACUGUUUGGUGUUUUUAUGCAUUUU